rnacentral:rRNA from 1 species
GAUCAUUAACGAGUUUUGAAAGGGGUUGUAGCUGGCCUUUUACGAGGCAUGUGCACGCCCUGCUCAUCCACUCUUAACCUCUGUGCACUUAUUGUAGGUCGGUGAAAGGCUUGUUGCUUUUAUUAGUGCAAGCUGGAAGCCUUCCUAUGUUACACUACAAACGCUUCAGUUAUAGAAUGUUUUAUUGCGUAUAACGCAUUUAUAUACAACUUUCAGCAACGGAUCUCUUGGCUCUCGCAUCGAUGAAGAACGCAGCGAAAUGCGAUAAGUAAUGUGAAUUGCAGAAUUCAGUGAAUCAUCGAAUCUUUGAACGCACCUUGCGCUCCCUGGUAUUCCGGGGAGCACGCCCGUUUGAGUGUCAUGGUAUUCUCAACCUUCAUAACUUUUGUUAUCGAAGGCUUGGACUUGGAGGUCGUGCUGGCUCUCGUUGGUCAGCUCCUCUGAAAUGCAUUAGCGUGAACGUUUACGGAUCGCUAUCAGUGUGAUAAUUAUCUGCGCUGUUAGUGUUGAAGUAUGUUUAGUGUCGCGCUUCUAAUCGUCCUUCAGUUGGACAAUUUUUCUGAAAUCUGGCCUCAAAUCGGGCGGGACUACCCGCUG